CAGCUACCCAAGCUCCAGGAGCUUCCGAAGAAACAGGACCAGAGAGGGAAGGUGACCUGAAAGUCACAGAAUAAUUUUUUAGAGCUGAACAAGAAUCCAAGCCUGCAACUGCAGAGACGAGAGAUCUUUCUGCUGUCUAUACUCUUGGAAAGCACAUCCUAAGGGCCGCAUCAUCGAGUGCACACACUGUGGCUGUCGUGGCUGCUCUGGCUGAGGCUGGCGCGCUCCACCCUGGACUCUGGACUUCGCAGGUUCCUGCCUGUCACGCCACCCCCUUCCUGGGAGCAGCGAGCAGUGCCCCAGGCCCGAGUUGGAGCACGGUCUCUAUGGGGAAGGCUUCGCUGUCUAUCAGCUGUGAUUUGUAAAAAUAAAAUCUUUAAAUCUCUCG
rnacentral:lncRNA from 10 species